UAGGGAAUUUUGCGCAAUGGGCGAAAGCCUGACGCAGCAACGCCGCGUGAUUGUAGACGCCCUUCGGGGUGUAAAGAUCUGUCAGUAGGGACGAAAAAUGACUGUACCUACAGAGGAAGCACCGGCUAACUCCGUGCCAGCAGCCGCGGUAAUACGGAGGGUGCGAGCGUUGUCCGGAAUCAUUGGGCGUAAAGAGUUCGUAGGUGGUUUGUAAAGUCUGGUGUUAAAUACUAAAGCUUAACUUUAAUACGGCAUCGGAUACUUGCAGACUGGAAUGCGGUAGAGGUAAAGGGAAUUUCUGGUGUAGCGGUGAAAUGCUUAGAUAUCAGGAAGAACAUCGGUGGCGUAAGCGCUUUACUGGGCCGUAAUUGACGCUGAGGAACGAAAGCCGGGGUAGCAAAUGGG
rnacentral:rRNA from 1 species